UUUGACUUAGAAAGAAUUUAAAUUUGGCGCAGUUAGCUAACACUUUUCAUAGUUGCUGGACAGCUAUGAAGACUGUGUUUUUGCGUUUGGUAACUAAGUACACCUAACCAAGCACGAGUCGGGUCAAGGAGAACCGUACGCCAGCCUCCAUUCAAAAAAUACUACAACAGCAUUUCAACCUUUUCGCAAAACCUACAAAACAGGAAGGACAAUGGCAGGCCUGUGGAGAUCCUACCAGGCCUUGAUGACCAAAUACCCAUGGACUGUACAGAUAGUAACUGCAGGGUCUUUGGUGGGUGUUGGUGACGUCAUCUCUCAGCAGCUGAUUGAGAGGAGGGGACUAGCCAAUCACAGCGUGCGACGGACGGCCAGGAUGAUGAGCAUAGGGUUCUUUUUUGUGGGUCCAGUAAUAGGAGGCUGGUAUAAGGUGCUGGAUCGACUGGUGGUUGGAGGAACUAAAAGUGCUGCCAUGAAGAAAAUGCUGGUUGACCAGUUGUGUUUUGCUCCAUGCUUCCUGGGAGCUUUCCUCUGUAUCUCUGGCACUCUGAAUGGACUGACGGUGGAGGAGAACGUCACCAAGCUGAAGAGGGACUAUACAGACGCCUUGAUCUCAAAUUACUAUCUAUGGCCACCUGUCCAGAUUGCCAAUUUCUAUUUCAUUCCAUUGCACCACAGACUGGCUGUUGUCCAGAUCGUCGCUGUUGUCUGGAACUCCUACCUGUCCUGGAAGGCCAAUAAGAUGUAAAGGAUUAUCUCAAGUCUUCAUUUCUGCCCGGAACCCUUCAGGACUGUCAGUGUUGAUGAUGAUGACUUUGCACUCACUUGUAGUGUGAUUUGGGCUGUUCUGGCCUGAAGAGAGCUUACUUUGGCUACUUAGUCUUCUGAUAUUUCCAAUGUGUAAAACUGUGACUGAGUCACUUAUAAAGGUCAGAAGAAAAUACUUGUCUACUCCGAAUGACAAAUUCACACUUGAAAGUCAAACUUUCACUUUGCAGUUGCAGAAAUGUCUGUGAAAGUUUGUUAUUUAUGGAAAUAGGACUUGGCGCUGUUACUGGAAAGUGUAGCCACACACACACACUCACACACACACAUACAUGCUGACACACUGAUGUCAAAGAAGAGUUUGCUAAACCUUACAGUAUAUUGUUGAUUAGCAGAAAUGAUUUCGUUCAUAGAUAUGUUAAAAGAUAACAUAAAUAAUCUCAUAAUAUUAAAGGAAAAAUCCUCCCAUGUAAUCUCUUGCACUUUUUAGAUUCUUUUAGACUCUUCACAACCUGUGAUGUUUAACGUAUUUCAGGAAUUAAUUUGUAAUGGAAGCAUUGUAAUUUAUCAUAUUUUCUUCCCACUGUUUUCUUUUAUUAUGUAUUGACUGUCUCAUCAGGAUUUUUAAAGUGUCCUUGGGUGACAUGAAAGGUGUUUAUAAGUAAAUUGUGUUAUUUUUAUUGUUGUUGUUUUUGUUGUUUGAUAGUAUGUAUGUGUAUGUAUGUGAGUAUGUGGACAGAGCAAUAGCACAUCAACUUGUUCCAGUUUUCCAGUUGUCAUUUAAUUAAAACACAACAUGCCUUCAGGCUGCGUUGGUCUGUUGAGGCUGCUAGUCUCUCAGAAAUUACUUUUUGAGAUUUUUGCAUUGUUCUGACAUUAUUUGUCACAGUAUAGAGAAAGGUGACAGAGGAUGGGAGAUAAAGGUGCUGGGUCGGGACUCAGCCUUUAUACAAGGUACACUCUACCAGGUGAGACACUGUGGUGUAAGAUGGUUCUCUAAAAGACUGUGUGGGUCCAUGAAGCCCCUUCAUCUACUAAAGAACCACUUUAUUUUGUGGAUGGCUCCUCAUUUGAGGGAAAAAAGAAAACAUUUGAAAAGGAUUGUUCACUGAAACAAUUAUCUCCACAAGAACUACUUUGGAGGCCCUUAAGAGAACUUUUGAGACCAUAUUUGGUUCCUCAAAGGACUUCUUUGAUGGGUCUUUUAAACACCUUUGGGAAUUCUUUAGGCAGUGAAAGAAGACCAUAAAGAAACAUGGUCUGAAAUGUUCUUUGUGGAAUCAGAAAUGGUUCUCCUUUAGCACCACUAUGAAGAAUUAUUUUCAGCUCCAGUUGACACAUAAGAGAAUUAACUGCUGUUUUCUUGUACCUUUUCUCCUCUUUGUUAUUUGAAGUGACCAUUGCUGAUUCAAAGAACUGUUUCAUAGGUGUUUGAGGAACCUUUGAAGCAUUUAAAAAUGUUUCUUUAAAGACCCAUGGUCUGACAGGUUCUUUGUGGAACCAGAAAAGGUACUCCUAAGGCAUCACUUGAAGAACCAUUCUAGAUUCCAACUGGCACCUUUUAUUUUUCUGUGUGACACCCAGACAAGCAAAGGCCUUUUGAGUCUGAUGGACUGAUAUUUGGCACUGAUGGUUUAGACCAUGGAGAAAUUUUAUCCUAUUUCUCCUGUAGCUUCUGGAAAUAUCUGGACAUGACAUCACAUCUUCUAUGUUUGAUGUAUUUUUUUUAUUCCUGUGGAUAACUGGCCAAAAAUACAGCUGAUCAAGAAAUGCAAACAACAUUGCUAACAGUUAUUUGACAAUUAUUUAAUGUUUCAGGGUGGAUGUUUCCUUUAAGCUCUAUUUCACUGGUAUGGCUUUUAAAAUGUGCAUAAUUGCAAUAUUAAAGAUCAUAUUUCAAGCAUAAAA